AACGAACGCUGGCGGCAGGCUUAACACAUGCAAGGUCGAACGCACCUUCGGGUGAGUGGCAGACGGGUGAGUAAUGCGUGGGAACCUUCCCUGUGGUACGGAAUAGCUCCGGGAAACUGGAAUUAAUGCCGUAUACGCCCUUCGGGGGAAAGAUUUAUCGCCAUAGGAUGGGCCCGCGUCGGAUUAGCUUGUUGGUAGGGGUAAUGGCCUACCAAGGCAACGAUCCGUAGCUGGUCUUAGAGGAUGAUCAGCCACACUGGGACUGAGACACGGCCCAGACUCCUACGGGAGGCAGCAGUGGGGAAUAUUGGACAAUGGGCGAAAGCCUGAUCCAGCCAUGCCGCGUGAGUGACGAAGGCCUUAGGGUUGUAAAACUCUUUUGGCGGGGACGAUAAUGACGGUACCCGCAGAAUAAGCCCCGGCUAACUUCGUG
rnacentral:rRNA from 1 species